ACGAACGCUGGCGGCGUGCUUAACACAUGCAAGUCGAACGGAAAGGCCCUGCUUGCAGGGUACUCGAGUGGCGAACGGGUGAGUAACACGUGGGUGAUCUGCCCUGCACUUCGGGAUAAGCCUGGGAAACUGGGUCUAAUACCGGAUAGGAGCCAUUUUUAGUGUGAUGGUUGGAAAGUUUUUUCGGUGUAGGAUGAGCUCGCGGCCUAUCAGCUUGUUGGUGGGGUAAUGGCCUACCAAGGCGGCGACGGGUAGCCGGCCUGGGAGGGUGGACGGCCACAUUGGGACUGAGAUACGGCCCAGACUCCUACGGGAGGCAGCAGUGGGGAAUAUUGCACAAUGGGCGCAAGCCUGAUGCAGCGACGCCGCGUGGGGGAUGACGGCCUUCGGGUUGUAAACUCCUUUCGCUAGGGACGAAGCUUUUUGUGACGGUACCUAGAGAAGAAGCACCGGCUAACUACGUG
rnacentral:rRNA from 1 species